GUCGUCGUCGUCGUCGUCGUCGUCUGUCGUCGUUAACAAUUUUUCAAACAUCUUCUCCUCUGAAACUACUGAAUGGAUUUGAAUGAAACUUAAAAUGAUUGUUCCUUAGAUUAUCCUGCACAAAGUGUGUGCUUCGAUUUUUGAUCCGUCAAAAAACAUGGCCGCCGUUACUUAAAAUAGAACAUAGGGGUCAAAUGCAGUUUUUGGCUUAUAUCUCAAAAACGGAAGCAUUUAGUGCAAAUCUGACAGGAGUAAAAAUGUUCAUUAGGUCAGGAUCUAUCAGCCCAGAAAUUUUCAGAUGAAUCAAACAAACCAUUGUUGGGUUGCUGCCACUUAAUUGGUAAUUUUAAGGAAAUUUUGCAGUUUUUGGUCAUUAUCUUGAAUAUUAUUAUAGAUGAAGAUAAACUGUAAACAGCAAAAAUGAUCAGCAAAGUAAGAUCUACAAAUAGGUUAAUAUGACCAAAAUUGUCAAUUGACCCCGUAAGGGGUAAAUGUCCUUUAAUGACAAUUUUUCACAAUUUGUUCAUCAUAUUUGCUAACUUUAAAAAAUCUUCUCCUCUGAAACUACUGAAUGGAUUUGGAUGAAACUUAGCAUGAUAGUUCCUUAGAUUAUCCUGCACAAAGUGUGUGCUUCGAUUUUUGAUCCGUCAAAAAACAUGGCCGUCCUUACUUUAAAUAGAACAUAGGGGUCAAAUGCAGUUUUUGGCUUAUAUCUCAAAAACGAAAGCAUUUAGAGCAAAUCUGACAUGGGGUAAAAAUGUUUAUUAGGUCAAGAUCUAUCAGCCCUGAAAUUUUCAGACGAAUCAAACAAACCAUUGUUGGGUUGCUGCCACUUAAUUGGUAAUUUUAAGGAAAUUUUGCAGUUUUUGGUCAUUAUCUUGAAUAUCAUUAUAGAUAAAGAUAAACUGUAAACAGCAAAAAUGAUCAGC
rnacentral:lncRNA from 1 species